rnacentral:lncRNA from 1 species
GUAACUGCCAAGUUUACAUUGAUUUAAAAAUUCUACAGUAAUCCAGUUACAGUUGUUCAUCCCAAGGAAACCAUUAAUUAUUUGUACUUUAAUUGUAGGCAUUUUCUUUUGCCUUUUAUAAACUUUGUAAAUCCUAGGAAAUCAGCUGCAUAUUUAACUCCUUGGCUUUCAACCAGAAAUUUCAAAUAUCUAAUAAUGUCACCACUUUUUUAAGUCUCAAGAUUGGGAAUCAGUGGGAAAGUUUUGAUUUCACCAUUAUUACUAUUUUUUUUUUUUUGGUACCAGGGAUCGAACUGGGGACCUUGUGCUUGUGAGGCAGGUGUCGGGACCACUGAGCUAAAUUCCCGGCCAGCACCAUUAUUUUUGAAUUUAAGUGUAUGCAGCCUAGUUGUAAAGGCAUUCAUUUUUAUAGGUUGUGCCUAGGAAAUUUGACUGUUUGAGACUGUGUCAUAACCAAUGAAUCAUCACAGUUGGUAAUCUUCAAAACACUGAUGCAUUUUUCUACGUGCUGUUCCCAAAUGUGCUGGACCAGCUGUUGAGAGCCAUGCUAUCCAAUUGGCUGGAAGACCUCUUCUUGGACCACAAAUCAUCUAACGUACUAUUCCUCUUUGUUCUAAUGAAGAAUGGAAAAAUUAAAGAUGCCAUCCAACUGAUAACAAGUCCUGCUGUGUUUUACCAACAUAAAAAAUUAGACUGGAGACCGAGGAGCGGCAGGUGGCUUUUGGCACCAAGAAAUAAUCACACUUGAUGUGGAAAGUAAAGUAAAAGGAGCCAUCUGUUCACUGCAGGAGGACGUGAAAAAUCACAUUAACAUAUUGUCACUAACAUCAUGAAAUACACAGUUAAUAAUAAAUUUAGUUAUCAUGGCAAGUCGCGUUGGAUACUUACUCUGAAUAUGCAGAAUGUAAAAGAUGCUCAUGUUUGCUGACCCCAGUUUUUUUGAGAGAAUGAAAAAAAUCCAAGUGUUGAAUCUUUUCUUGGUGUGUGUGUGUGUGUGUGUGUGAUGGGAUUUGGGAGGGGAAGUGUUUCAUUUUAAAGCUGGCUGUGGUUCAUUGUUGC